GACGAACGCUGGCGGCGUGCUUAACACAUGCAAGUCGAACGGAAAGGCCCCUUUGGGGGUCCUCGAGUGGCGAACGGGUGAGUAACACGUGAGUAACCUUCCCUUGACUUCGGGAUAACUUCAGGAAACUGGGGCUAAUACCGGAUAGGAAUCCUUGCUGCAUGGUGGGGGUUGGAAAGCUUCGGCGGUUUUGGAUGGACUCGCGGCUUAUCAGCUUGUUGGUGGGGUAGUGGCUUACCAAGGCUUUGACGGGUAGCCGGCCUGAGAGGGCGACCGGCCACAUUGGGACUGAGAUACGGCCCAGACUCCUACGGGAGGCAGCAGUGGGGAAUAUUGCACAAUGGGCGGAAGCCUGAUGAAGCAACGCCGCGUGCGGGAUGACGGCCUUCGGGUUGUAAACCGCUUUCAGCAGGGGCGAAGCUUGUGGUGACGGUACCUGCAGAAGAAGCACCGGCUAACUACGUG
rnacentral:rRNA from 1 species